CAAUAGCGUAUAUUAAAGUUGUUGCAGUUAAAAAGCUCGUAGUUGGAUUUGUGGCGUACGGUGUGUUCCGGGCACUUGUUGUCUGAGUAACCUGCUGUUGCCAUCCUUGGGUGGAACCUGUGUGGCAUUAGGUUGUCGUGCAGGGGAUGCCCAUCAUUUACUGUGAAAAAAUUAGAGUGUUCAAAGCAGGCUUAUGCCGUUGAAUAUAUUAGCAUGGAAUAAUGAGAUAGGACUUUUUUGCUAUUUUGUUGGUUUGCGCAAGAAGGUAAUGAUUAAUAGGGACAGUUGGGGGUAUUCGUAUUCCAUUGUCAGAGGUGAAAUUCUUGGAUUUUUGGAAGACGAACUACUGCGAAAGCAUUUACCAAGGAUGUUUACAUUAA
rnacentral:rRNA from 1 species